CUUACUUUCAUUACACUCGGAGAAUAACAAAAUUAAAGCAAUGCAGAGCCUGCUUUUCUAGGGUGCCCCAGAGGACCAACUGGAUCUUACAUUAAAGCUAAUGUUGGGGAACUAGCUUUUGGUUGGAUAUGUGGGACUUGAUGAAUGAUGGGAGACCCCUUCGAUUCUAACCAUCAAGAAGUGGGCUGCAACUGUCGAUGGCAAUAGAAUUUCCUUUCAUGGUUUACUAGAAAGGCAAAUCAACAAGCUUAUGGUUGUAGAGAUGAAAGAAGAGUUGGAAUCUAGGGUUUAUCAAGGGUGAUUGUCAAGGCAAAUCAAUAUGAGGACCAUUGGUUUCUGCUAUAGAAAACUGGUUUGUAUUUGUUAAUGAGGCCCUUCAUU